AUUGAACGCUGGCGGCAUGCCUUACACAUGCAAGUCGAACGGCAGCACGGGUGCUUGCACCUGGUGGCGAGUGGCGAACGGGUGAGUAAUACAUCGGAACGUACCUUAUCGUGGGGGAUAACGCAGCGAAAGUUUCGCUAAUACCGCAUCCGCCCUGAGGGGGAAAGCGGGGGACCGUAAGGCCUCGCGCGAUUAGAGCGGCCGAUGUCUGAUUAGCUUGUUGGUGAGGUAAAAGCUCACCAAGGCGAUGAUCAGUAGCUGGGCUGAGAGGAAGAUCAGCCACACUGGGACUGAGACACGGCCCAGACUCCUGCGGGAAGCAGCAGUGGGGAAUUUUGGACAAUGGGGGCAACCCUGAUCCAGCAAUGCCGCGUGAGUGAAGAAGCCCUUCGGGUUGUAAAGCUCUUUUGUCAGGGAAGAAACAGCAGCUCUAACACAGUCUGCGAAUGACGGUACCUGAAGAAUAAGCACCGGCUAACUACGUGCCAGCCGCCGCAGUAA
rnacentral:rRNA from 1 species